UGGAUGAUGUGGUUAAUUCGAUGCAACGCGAAAACCUUACCCACCUUUGACAUGUACGGAAUCCUUUAGAGAUAGAGGAGUGCUCGAAAGAGAACCGUAACACAGGUGCUGCAUGGCUGUCGUCAGCUCGUGUCGUGAGAUGUUGGGUUAAGUCCCGCAACGAGCGCAACCCUUGUCAUUAGUUGCUACAUUCAGUUGGGCACUCUAAUGAGACUGCCGGUGACAAACCGGAGGAAGGUGGGGAUGACGUCAAGUCCUCAUGGCCCUUAUGUCGGAGGCUACACACGUGCACAGUGCGGUACAAAGGGCUGCAAUACCGCAAGGUGGAGCGAACCCCAAAAAGCCGGUCUCAGUUCGGAUUGGAGUCUGCAACUCGACUCCAUGAAGUUGGAAUCGCUAGUAAUCGCGGAUCAGCACGCCGCGGUGAAUACGUUCCCGGGCCUU
rnacentral:rRNA from 1 species